rnacentral:pre_miRNA from 1 species
GGUGGAUAUUCCUUCUAUGUUUACAGGAUUGACAGCUAAACAUAGAGGAAAAUCCACAUU